rnacentral:rRNA from 1 species
UACGAAGGGUGCAAACGUUGCUCGGAAUUACUGGGCGUAAAGGGCUCGUAGGCGGCCAACUAAGUCAGACGUGAAAUCCCUCAGCUUAACUGGGGAACUGCGUCUGAUACUGGAUGGCUUGGAUUUGGGAGAGGGAUGCGGAAUUCCAGGUGUAGCGGUGAAAUGCGUAGAUAUCUGGAGGAACACCGGUGGCGAAGGCGGCAUCCUGGACCAAUAUUGACGCUGAGGAGCGAAAGCCAGGGGAGCAAACGGG